rnacentral:misc_RNA from 1 species
UAGUCGUAACAAGGUUUCCGUAGGUGAACCUGCGGAAGGAUCAUUAACGAAUAACUAUGGUGUCUUGGUUGUAGCUGGCUCCUCGGAGCAUUUGUGCACGCCCGCCAUUUUAUCUAUCCACCUGUGCACCGACUGUAGGUCUGGAUGACUCUCGUGCUCUCCGAGUGCGGAUGCGAGGAUUGCCCUCUUGAGGUGUCUCUCCUCGAAUUUCCAGGCUCUACGUCUUUUUUACACACCCCACAAGUAUGAUAUAGAAUGUAGUCAAUGGGCUUGAUCGCCUAUAAACACUAUACAA